rnacentral:rRNA from 1 species
UAGGGAAUCUUCGGCGAAUGGGGGCAACCCUGACCGAGCAACGCCGCGUGAGUGAAGAAGGUUUUCGGAUCGUAAAGCUCUGUUGUAAGAGAAGAACGUGUGUGAGAGUGGAAAGUUCACACAGUGACGGUAACUUACCAGAAGGGACGGCUAACUACGUGCCAG